rnacentral:rRNA from 1 species
AACCCUGACGCAGCAACGCCGCGUGGGUGAAGAAGGCCUUCGGGUCGUAAAGCCCUGUCAAGUGGGAAGAACGGCCUCUGGUUGAAUACGCCGGGGGUAUGACUGUACCACUGAAGGAAGCACCGGCUAACUCCGUGCCAGCAGCCGCGGUAAUA